GGAUCAUCACGUCGGUCGUACCUUUGGUAUGUACUGGCGUCGCUGGUUUCUCCCUUCUGAUGAACCGUGAUGCCAUUAAUUUGGUGUUAUGAGGAGUCAGGACUGUUACUUUGAAAAAUUAGAGUGUUUAAAGCAGGCAAUCGCUUGAAUACAUUAGCAUGGAAUAAUGAAAUAGGACGUUCGAUUCUAUUUCGUUGGUUUCUAGGAUCAACGUAAUGAU
rnacentral:rRNA from 1 species